GAUGAAGAACGUAGCGAAAUGCGAUAAGUAAUGCGAAUUGCAGAAUUCAGUGAGUCAUCGAAUCUUUGAACGCAUAUUGCGCCCUUUGGUAUUCCGAAGGGCAUGCCUGUUCGAGCGUCAUUAUCAACCAUCAAGCUUGGCUUGUAGUUGGACUUAUUGGCUGGGGGAUGCCCCGGCCGGUCCGAAAGAUAAUGAACGGGUGCUCAGCGGCCUUAGAUGCAACGAGCUUUCCAAGCACGCAUUGAACGGUCGUUAGGGCCCGGUCUUUACUCCUAUUUUUUCUACGGUUGACCUCGGAUCAGGUAGGAAUACCCGCUGAACUUAAGCAUAUCAAUAAGCGGAGGA
rnacentral:misc_RNA from 1 species